GUCAACGGCCAUGCCACCCUGAACAAGCCCGAUCCCUCCUAAUCUCAGAAGCUAAGCAGGGUCGGGCCUAGUUAUUACUUGGAUGGGAGACCACCUAGGAAGACCAGGUGCUGUAGGCA
rnacentral:rRNA from 1 species